AGCAUUUAAGCAGGGUUGGGAAGAGUGGAUGCCAGGUGGGUAGGCAGAGAUUCGAGUUGUAUACGACCUUGAACGUGGAGAGGCAGCACAUAGCUUUGUGGAGAAACAAAGGCAAAUGAAUGGGACUGGUGUUUAGGAGUCUUUCCAGAAAAGGUGGAGAUCUUUGCACCUUGUGGGCAGCUGAGCUGGAGUAGUUCAGCUGGGAGACAUGGAUCCCUCUACUCUCUCUCCUCAUGACCUUGUUUGUUGAUAUGAGUUAGGAUUCUAGGAGCAAUGUUGGGACUGCUUGAAAUACACAGAAAAUUGCAAGUAAUAAUCAGGAAAAGGACCAGUUCUAGAAUCGUCUCUACUACCUACAAAAUCUCCUUAUCCUAGUUGGCUCCCUUUUCAGGCUUUCUGAAACACUCAGGCAGAUGUUUUUACCAUUCUGUUUUUGCACAGAAAUACCCACAGGUACACGGUGGGGUAAUUACAUUUCAGUGAUAUAGGUGGAGGCCCUUUCUUUUGUUCUUUCUUUCUUUUUUUUUGAGAUGGAGUUUCACUGUUGUUGCCCAGGCUGGAGUGCAAUGGCUCCAUCUCUGCUCACUGCAACCUUCACCUCCCAGGUUCAAGUGAUUCUCCUGCCUCAGCCUCCUGACUAGCUGGGAUUACAGUCGUGCGCCACCAUGUCUGGCUAAUUUUUGUAUUUUUAGUAGAGGCAGGGUUUUGCCAUGUUAUCUGAGCUGGUCUCAAACUCCUGACCUCAGAUGAUCUGCCCGCCUCAGCCUCCUAAAGUGCUGGGAUUGUGGGCAUGAGCCACCUCGCCCAGCUGACCCUUCCUUUAAUUGGCCAACAUAAUCAGACUCAUUAGACUCCGCCUGUAAUAUAAUUAUAUAAACUCUUCAUUGUAUAAUUCAUUUGGUAACAUAUGACUCCGUUUUUGUCAGGUUCAUAUUCUGAAGUCAUUUUUUGUUUUGUCAGAGAAGCAGGAGGGCAAUUUAGAUUAAUAGAUAUUUCCAGUUAGAAGAAUUCAGAUUAGCUAAAUCUGAUGAUGGCUGAAGAAAUGAGGCCUAGUUUGCCAGCUGUUAAACCCCUAGUGUCCCAUCAUCUCCUUUUCCACUGACCUUAACAUUGAAAACUAGGAAGCAACUUGCGUUUUUUCAAAGAAGAUGUUUAGGUAAGAUUUUUAGUCAGACUUUGGAAGCCUGACUUUUCUUCUUCUUCUUCCUUUUAUUUUUCUCUUUUUUUGAGACAGGGUCUUGCUCUGUCACCCAGGCUGGAGUGCAGUGGCAUGAUCCUGGCUCAAUGCAGCCUCCAUCUCCUGGGCUCAAGUGAUUCUCCCACCUCAGCCUCCUGAGUAGGUGGGACAACAGGCGUGUACCACCAACCCGGCUAAUUUGUUCACUUUUUGUGGAGACAGGGACUGGCUAUGUUGCCCAGGUUGGUCUUGAACUCUGGCUUGAGGAUCCUCCUGCCUCCGCCUCUUAAAGUGCUGGGAUUACAGGCAUGAGCCACUGCACCUGGCCCAGGAGCUUCACUUUUGCUUUGACUCUUGGUUGGCUCUGGACCUGAUUCAACCUACAAGGAACCUCUGGAACUUGUUUCUGUUUAACCACAAGAGUUCAUGGGUAGCGGUGUCCAUACUUUUGAAAAUGAAGCCAAUGCUCAGGCUUUGGAGAGUCAGCGAGAGAACCAACACUUUGCCUGCUCCUGGGCCUGGCCUUACCCUUUUUCUCUCAUUUAACCCUCUGAUGGCAGCAGCACAGGAGCAUUAGUGGCAGUGGUGUGUUAUUAUCCAUAUUUUGCAGAUGAAUACAUUGAGAUUCAAAAAGGUUAGGUAAUGUGCUCCAGGACACGCAACUAGUUAAUAGCCAAGUCAGAAGGAGAGCUUGGUGAAACCCAUUAUUUGUUUUUCCUUACUCUGCUUUUGCCUGUCACUAGUAUUUAAUCCAGCAAAAGGAAAAACAUUUCUUGAAAACAGAUCAAGUCAGCACUAUCAACUAAAUGAAAAAUCAGAGGCCGUUGACUUCCUAUAGAUGGUACCAGCUUCUAUUUCUCCAGCCUUAUUUUAACACAUAAAAUGUUCCCUAGUUCCAGGAAAAAAGAACAGCUCUGGGAGAUCAAGAAAAUAAAAGCUGAACUGCGGUCUAGAUUAGAGUGUUGGUAGGGUUUUCAGUGUGUGUGUGUGUGUGUGUGUUUGUGUUUAAAAUGUUAAUUUCAGAGUAAAGAAUUAAUAGAAGUAACAUUCCAUAAAUUCUAAUUAAAAAUUAAUCCCUUGUUUGUGUUCAAGGUAGUGGUCUCUGAACUCAAUAUAAGUCUGUUGGAAAGUUUGAACAAGGAAAAGUUCCUGAGAGCUGAGGGUUGCUAUCCAGAGACAGUUGUCAUUAUCUUCAUUUGAAACACUUGGUGACAUAGAUUCUAGAGUUUUUGUCUGUUUGGUUGUUUUUUUGAGAUGAAAUCUCCCUCUGUUGCCCAAGCUGGAAUGCAGUGGCAUGAUCUUGACUCAUCGCAACCUCUGCCUCCCAGAUUCCAGCAAUUCUCCUGCUUCAGCCUCCCAGGUAGCUGGGAUUACAGGUGCCCACCACCAGCACCAUGCCUGGCUAAUUUUUGUAGAGACGGGGUUUCACCAGGUUGGCCAGGCUUUUCAGGUGAUCGUCCCGCCUUGGCCUCCCGAUGUGCUGGGAUUACAGGUGUGAACCACCGCGCCCAGCCGAUUCUGCAGUUUUAGACUUAAAACGACUAUUGGAGAUUAUUUAUAAUCAAGCCAUUUUAUUUUAUAAUGAAGUCUAGAUCUGUAGAAGAUGCAGUUCAGUCGUCUACCUCAUGAGAAACUCUAGGCUAGAACCAGGUCUCUUUUAAGCCUCAAGGCGAUUCUAUUGUGUGGAAUUCUCCCUCCUCUGGGAUUCCUUGCUGGAAGAAAAUAUUCCCCCGAGGACCCAUGAGUAAAGCAAGUACUGUGGUUUUAGUCUCUAGUUGAAGGUGGCUGGGGACUCUGACUUUGUGUCUACUUAGUGGGACACAUAGGGUAGCCCCAUUGGAAGCUACUGGAAGGGUGACCCACCUCCUUCCCCAGCCACUCCUUGGUCCCAGGGAGUCACCUGCUCAUCAAGGAGGCUCCUUGGAGCACAGUCUGAAGAUCACCCUGCACCCGCCACCCUCACCCCAGAGGGUGUUAGUAAAAUGAGUGUCUCUCCAGAGGCGCUGCUAAUAUCUAAGGCAGGAAUGCUUUUGUUUUCAAUGCUUUCUUUACUGUUUAACAACAGUUCUUGCUCAGCAUCUCCCGUUCUGACUGCAUUCACAUUAAUGUGUGUACUUUUGGGGAUUGAUCUGUAGUCUUUGGGGAUUUGGUGCACAACGCAGAAAAAUAGAAACACUUCGCUCCUCUCCCAGAAAAGAGAAAGGAAAGAAAAGAAAAACAGCUUUUUCAUACAGAGUAUUCUUUUGUUCUUUGCCCUGGCAGGGAACCAGUGCACUUCAUCCGGGCUCCCCCAGGGUCCCCGGAGAGUUUUGUUGCGCACAUUUCUGAGAAGGGAUUUGGGAUGAGGGGUGGCGCCGGCUCUGGAAUGGCAUGAAUAGAGAUGCCGAAAUGUCGAACAGUGCUCCCUGUUCUCUGCUUUAAACCAUUGUCGUUGGAUGCCGUAGGUCACGCCUGUAAUCCCAAGACUUGGAGGCUGAGGCGGGCGGAUUGCCUCAGCACAGGAGUUUUCGACCAGCCUGGGUAACACGGUGAAACUCCGUCUGUACUAAAAUUCAAAAAAUUAGCCAGGCGUGGUAGUGCACACCUAUAAUCCCAGCUACUCGGGAGGCUGAGGCGUGAGAAUAGCUUGAACCCAAGAGGCGGAGGCUGCAGUGACCUGAGAUUGCGCCACUGCACUCAGCCUGGGCGACAGAGCCAGACUCUGCUUCAAAACAAACAAACAAAUAAGCGAAACAACAACAAAACACACACCAUUUUCCUGAAAGGCAUCUGCAAACAUAUCAAGGCAGAAAUUAUUGAAAGGAAGAGAUUUUAAGGUUGCUGUUGGCAUAGUAGCUCUGUCUGGUAUAAAAAUCUUAUUCUGAAUAAGAUAAUUGUAUAAAAAGUUUUCUCAAGAAUGAGCACGAUUUUGAUGUUGUUUUUAUUUAAGUUUUCUGUUGAGAAGGGACCACGGUCAGGGUCAUGAGUGUGAUUUCUAGGCGAUCCAGGUAGUUUCCUUGGCUUGUUCCACAGCCAGGGGACAGUGGAGGUUUGCCCAGCUGUCUUGCAAAGCUCCGUUUUUUGUCAUAACCGGCACAGGGAAAGGAGGGCGGGUUAAUAGGUUUGUGCAAACCUUUCAACACUAAUGGAACAGACAAGGAGCAGAUGCUGUCCUUCUGGCUGGUCAGUGAAAUUGACUCUGUCCGUGAAGGACGCUGUAUUUUCCCAGUGACUUGGGUGGGACUACCAGACACAGGAAACAGAUUCAGGGAGCAGGAAAGCAAACUGUUGUUAACAAAACCCUGGUUAAAAGUAGGUAGUAAUUGAGUAGGUAGUAAUUGGCCAGGCACGGUGGCUCAUGCCUGUAAUCCCAGCACUUUGGGAGGCCAAGGCAGGUGGAUCACGAGGUCAGGAGUUUUAGACCAGCCUGGCCAAUAUGGUGAAAUCCUGUCUCUACUAAAAAUACAAAAAUUAGCUGUGUGCCUAUAGUCCCAGCUGCUCGGGAGGCUGAGGCAGGAGAAUCGCUUGAACCUGAGAAGCAGAGGUUGCAGUGAGCUGAGAUCGCACCACUGCACUCCAGCCUGGGCGACAGAGCAAGACUCUGCCUCAAAAAUAAAUAAAUAAAUAAACAAACAAACAAACAUAAAUAAAUAAAAAGUAGGUAGCAGUUAACUUUUGUUUUUUCUUACUGUGAUAGGGAGGAAGUUUCUAAGGCUCUUACAAGUCAGUUUAGAAACCUUGUGUCUGAUUGCAUGAGUGUGAGUGAUAUUCCAAAGCUAAGUAACUAAUUCAUUUCAGAAAGGCUGUUGUUUUAGGUGAAUGGAGAAUAUUAUUUAUUGUAGACAUUAAAAUAAAUUAAUGUUUUUUCCCUUCUCUUUCCCUUUCCUUUCCCCUUUCCUUCUCUUCUCUCCCCUCUCCCUCUUCCUGUCCUCCCCUUUCCCCUCUCCUUUUCCCUCUCACCUCUCCCUCUCCCCCCUCCCCUCUCCCUUCUCCCCCUCCCCUCUCCCCGCUUCCCUCUCCACUCUUGCUCUUGUCACCCAGACAGGGGUGCAGUGGCGGUAUCUCGGCUCACUGCAACCUCCACCUCCCAGGUUUCAAGCAAUUCACGUACCUCAGCCUCCUGAGUAGCUGGGAUUACAUGUGCCUGCCACCACGCCCAGCUAAUUUUUUUGUUGUUGUAUUUUUAGUAGAGGUGGGGUUUCACUAUGUUGGCUAGGCUGGUCUCAAACUCCUGACCUUGUGAUCUUCCUGCCUCGGCCUUCCAAAGUGCUGGGAUUACAGGGUGAGCCACUGUGCCCAGCCUAGAAUAAAUUAAUACACUUUAAACAUUCAACCUCUUUAAGUGCUUCCCCCUCCUACAGAUGUGUAUGUAUGGGAUGGGGAGGGGGAAACCACAACGUUUUAAGUUUAUAAAAAUAUAAAAGUGUAUGCACAAUGACAGGCAGUAAAUGUGUUUUUCAGGAGCAGUAAUUACUGGAAAGGUACGUCUAGGUUCAUUGCUUUAGCGGCCUGAGUGAGACUGCAGCACCCGGGCUGGCUCCUGUGGGCUUUGGCCUGCUUUCUGUUGCCUGGAGGUCUGUAGUGUCAGGCAAGUCUGAAAACUUUUUUUGAAAACUAAGUAACACUUUUGCCCCAGUUCAGAGAAACAGACUGAGUUCUAGAAAUCAGCUAACUUGAGGCCUGGCGCGGUGGCUCAUGCCUGUAAUCCCAGCACUUUGGGAGGCCGAGGCGGGUGGAUCACAAGGUUAAAAGAUCGAGACUAUCCUGGUCAACAUGGUGAAACCCCGUCUCAACUAAAAAAUACAAAAAAUUAUCUGGGCAUGGUGGCGUGGGCCUGUAAUCCCAGCUACUCAGGAGACUGAGGCAGGAGAAUUGCCUGAAUCCAGGAGGCGGAGGUUGCGGUGAGCCAAGAUCGCCAUUGCACUCCAGCCUGGGUAACAGGAUCAAAACUCCGUCUUAAAAAAAAGAAAUCAGCUAACUUGUAGUGAGAAGCUUUCAUGUCUCUUUAACAAAUUCAGCCCACUGGGAGAGGGAAAGAAUUUCAGACUAGAAAUAAGGCAUUUUGUGGUAUUCCCAAGUGAGGAUUUUUCCUGUAGGUUCCAAGGAGGAUGAAACCUUGGAUUUAAAACGGACAAACCAAUCGUAUCUGGAAAAUGUAAAGUUGUCUAGAAAAAUUAUCUUGGAAGCUUUACUUUUUGUGCUAUGCAACCUCGAAUUUGCAAAUAGCAUCCAAAUCAUUCAAAUGAACAAGGGUCGCAAGGCUGCACACCGCCAGGGGGCACCAUUUACAUGGGACCCAGUGGGAAGACAGCAGUGUGAUGGCCUGCAAUUGACCAACCUGCCUUUUACCGCCCUUUCAUGCUCCUAACCCCUACUGCUGUCCUGGGUUAGAACUUGACAGUUUAUACCAAACUCGUGUGUUUGUAAGUGAAACAUCACACCCUUAGCAUCGUCUUUCCUGACACUCCAUCUACAGCAGCUUUCCUCAUCUAAAAUAGCUUUCCCCUGGCUGGGUGCAGUGGUUUACACCUGUAACCCCUGCACUUUGGGAGGCCGAGGAGGAUGGGUCACUAGAGGUCGGGAGUUUGAGACCAGCCUGGCCAACAUAGUGAAACCCCAUCUCUACUAAAAACCUAAAAAUUAGCUGGUAAUGGUGGUAGUGCCCCUGUAAUCCCAGCUACUCGGGAGACUGAGGAAGGAGAAUUGCUUGAACCUGGGAGGUGGAGGUUGCACUGAGCUGAGAUCGAGGCUAUACUCCAGUCUGGGUGACAGAGUGAGACUCCAUCUCAAAAUAAAAUUAAAAAAAAAAAAAUAGCUUUCUUUUAAUAUUCUCCCUGAUCAUUUCCCCUGUCAUCUACCUCUCCACACCUGUUUAUUCCUUCAUAGCAUUUAUCGAAAUUUGUACUUACUGUGUUUACUUGUUUGUUAUCUGUUGCCGUCGUUAUCUUUUCAACAUGUAAUCCACAUGAGAAAACACUGAUAUGAUCUUUUAUUUAUUUUCACACUGAGUCUAUGAAAUCGAGUGUGUAUUUUCUGUGGACAUACAUCUUAAUUUGCACUGGCCACCCUGCAGUGCUCAAGGACCAUGAAUGGCUUGUGGCUGCCAUAUUGGAUAGUAUGGCUCUGGUGCUUAAACUUAGGGUCCACACUUGGGAAAUACUUGCUGAGAGAAUGGAUAGGAAGCUGAAAAAAAUGGAAACCUUCUUAGGAACCCUGAUCCUCUAUGUCCUAAAAAAUCGUUUAAAACUUUUUCACUUACAUUUUAUACUGCUUGAAAUUUUACCAAUUAGAGAUUCUUUUGUAUUUAAAAUAUCUUCAUUUAAAAAAUUCCUUAGUGAUACCCCUGAGAAGUUUGAAAUCAGUCAUAUAUAUCUUGGAGUUACUGUAAUCAGACUGCUUUCCUCCUACCUCCCAGAAGAGGGUGUAUAUUAGUUUUCUUUCCUUUUCUUUUUUUCAUUUUGAGAUGGAGUCUUGCUCUUGCAUCCAGGCUGGAGUACAAUGGCGUGAUCUUGGGUCACUGCAACCUUCGCCUCCUGGGUUCAAAUGAUUCUCCUGCCUCAGCCUCCCGAGUAGCUGGGAUUACAGAUGCUCACCACCACGUGUAGCUAAUUUUUGUAUUUUUAGUAGAGAUGAGGUUUCACCUUGUUGGCCAGGCUGAUCUUGAACUCUUGACCUCAGAUGAUCCACCCGCCUUGGCCUCCCAAAGUUCUGGGGUUACAGGGGUGAGCCACCAUGCCUGGUCUCUUUUCUUUUUUUUGUUUGAGACAUAGUCUUGCUCUGUUGCCCAGGCUGGAGUGCAGUGGCAUGAUCUCAGCUCACUGCAACCUCUGCCUCUUGGGUUUAAGCAAUUCUCCACCUCAGCUUCCCUAGUAGCUGGGACUACAGGCGUGCACCACCACACCGGGGAAAUUUUUGUAUUUUUAGUGGAGACGGGGGUCUCACCGUGUUGGCCAGGCUGGUCUUGAACUCUUGACCUCACGUGAUCCACCCACCUCGGCUUCCCAAAGUGAGCCACUGUGCCUGGCCAUAUAUUAGUUUUCUAUUGCUGUGUUACAAGAUCACAAACUCAGUGGCUUAGAACAACACGCAUUUAUUAGCGCACAAAUUCUGUAGCUCAGAAGUCUGGGUUUGGCAUGGCUGGAUUCUCUGCUCAGGGUCUCAUAGGCUAACGUCACAGUGUCAGCCAGCCUGCCUCUCUGGAGCUUGGAGUUGUCUUCAGGGCUCACACUGCUGUUGGCAGAAUCAGAAUGCAGUUCCUUGCAGUCUAUCAGUUAGAGGCUGGUUCCUAGAGGCCACCUGCCAUGCCCUGCCCUGUGGCCCUCUCCACAGCAUGGCAAUUUGCUUUUGCAAGUCCAGUGGGAGAGAUUCUACUGCAACUUCAGAUCUUUACCACUUGCUGUCUCUUAUUUCCCGACUCCUUUCCAAAAGGGCUUACCAGUCAGUGGGAAGCUUGGAGGCCGUUCUGCCUCUCUUAGGGAUAUUAGCUGAAUCCAGUUUCCAGUGGAAGAGAGAAGUAUUAUUUCUUGAGUCUGGAAAACAGGGCUAUGGAAGUUGCAGACUGACAUAAGGACACCAUCUAUUCACAGAUACUCUAUUGAACUCCUGCCCUUUGCCGGGUGCUGGGCCUGGAGUGGCUAACAAGGCAGGUAGAUCCCUGCCCUCUUGGAACUCCUAGGCCCGAGGACACUGGAGAGGUUUUAUUGCCAUUUAAAAAUAGAUGGCCGGGCACGGUGGCUCAAGCCUGUAAUCCCAGCACUUUGGGAGGCCGAGGCGGGUGGAUCACGAGGUCAACAGAGCGAGACCAUCCUGGUCAACAUGGUGAAACCCCAUCUCUACUAAAAAUACAAAAAAUUAGCUGGGCAUGAUGGCGUGUGCCUGUAGUCCCAGCUACUCAGGAGGCUGAGGCAGGAGAACUGCCUGAACCCAGGAGGCGAAGGUUGCGGUGAGCUGAGAUCGCGCCAUUGCACUCCAGCCUGGGUAACAAGAGCGAAACUCCGUGUCAAAAAAAACAAAAAAAGAAAAAGAUGAUGGCCAUGGUUACACAGCUCUGUAAGUGCAUCAGGAAUCACUGAAUUGGUAGGUAAAGUACAUCUCAAUAAAGUUGUUUUUGAGAAAGAAAAGUGCUUACAGAUUUGUUGGAGCAGAAUAGAUACCCAUGUUCAGAGAGAGAGAGAGAGAGAGCAAGAGUGCACUGUUGAGAGGCAGAGAGUGCUGAAUUUGAAUUCUGCGUAAAUGGAAAGGUUACCAUCCCCGUCCUUAAGGAGAUGGCUCUGGUUGUCUUGAAUUUAGAUAGCCUUCCAGGGAAGGAGGUUCUCUUCUGCAGCAGUGUGGGGAAAAAAUCUGCCAGAUUUGGGCCAGAAUGACUGCAAUUUAGGGUCAGGACAUGAUACUUAGAGGGAAAAAAGUAAUCAUGGCUUGAAUAGCUGCCCUAAGGCUAGCUACAGGGCUGCAGGGGUCCGGGGAACCUUCCUUGUCAGAGCUAAGGAUCCUUAGGAGUUCCUAUAAGGGGACGGAGGCUGUGGCUAUCAUGAGUGGAAGAACCAGCUCCGGGAGGAACCCAGGAUUGUUCUGGCUCUGACUCCAGGUGCAUGUCUCUGCUUUCUGUGAGCAUUGAAUGGGAAAUCACGUGUUAGUAGAAUAAAUCCCAGAAUAUACAUUCAGGGAGAGAUGGUUCCACAUGGCACAUAAGUCCUUUGUAUGUCUGGCAGAUGUCCUUAAGCCUUCUUCCCAUCAAGGGCUUUAUUCUGACGGUGGCUAACUGGCUAUUUAAACCCCAUCUCAAUAGUGUCUGUCUAGGAUGGCAAAAAUCACACCAGGUUUUGCUGGGCAAAUCUCCCAAGUGGCAUUUGCUAGAGGAGAGCCCCACUGCAGGAGGCACACUGUCUUGGCCAUUGGCUUUGCACGCCAUAGUGGAGGAAGGAGUUUGGGGUCACCAACCACUUCGUGGCUGACUGCCUGAGCCACAUUUUACAAGACUGUUUUUUGACUUAUAAAUACUGAACCAGAGCUCACCAAGAUUUUGACAUCAAGCAAUAAAGUGACUCAUUCUUUCAUUUCCCAGCAUUUUGACAAAAGCGGCCUCUCUUAAAACUCCUCAUCGGACGUUUGUGGAAGUCGACUCAUGCAUCUAAACAUGUAGCCAACGCACCAUCAGCAGAGAUGUUAGCUCAUGAGCACCUCUGAGUUUCUCAAAAUUAGUAUCUGAAAAUGAUGGGAACAGACAGGCGGCACCAUGUCUUUGGCACAUUUUGUUGAAAACUUAAAAUUCUUCGGGUGGAGGUAAGCAAAUUGGAAGGUAUUACAAAUGAUCAACAUGUACUAUUCAGAGUUAUGGAUUUACCCUUCCAUCUGAGAUGCCUGUGCCUUGGAAACCCCCUGCUCACUUUUAAGUAGCAGUGCCUCCAGAUCCAGUUUCUAAGCUACACAUGCAGAUUAACAUUAUUCUUUUAUAGUCACACUGCAUGUGGACUAAAAUAAUUUUUUUUAAGAGACCAGGUCUCACCAUGUUGCCCAGGCUUGUCUCAAACUCACGAGUUCAAGUGAUCUACCGGCCUUGGCCUCCCGAAGUGCUGGGAUCAUAGGUGUGAGCCACUGCGUCUAGCUGAAAUAAAUAUUUUAGGAUUUAACAUGGUUAUUAUUUUGAAAAUGGAACUCUAAAAGACUUUUCAAAAUUCAAAAUGAUAAAGAACGUUAAAAAUAAAAAAGCACCCCAAAACCUGCCUUAGGUUCUGCAGGGGAGAUUCAGAAAUGUUUUGCUUUGUAUCAGCUCUAUUGAAAUAAAUAUAUUGUUACCUAAAAGGACAUUAUUUGAACAAGACUGCACUUAAUUGGAUGUGUAUAUCCUGGUCAGUUUAUUAUUAAUGUUUAUUGUGUUUUUUUUUUUUGAGACAGAGUCUUGCUCUGUCACCAGGCACCAGGCUGGAGUGCAGUGGCUCAAUCUUGGCUCACUGCAAUCUUUGCCUCCUGGGUUCAAACAAUUCUCCUGCCUCAGCCUCCCAAGCAGCUGGGACUACAGGUGCACGCCACCACACCCAGCUAAUUUUUAUAUGUUUUAGUAGAAACAGGGUUUCACCAUGUUGGCCAGGAUGAUCUCGAUCUCUUGACCUUGUGAUCUGCCCGCCUCCGCCUCCCAAAAUGCUAGCAUUACAGGCAUGAGCAACUAUGCCUGGCCUAAUGUUUAUUGUUUUUAAAAAAAUGUGCUAAAUGACCAGGCGUGGUGGCUUACGCCUGUUAAUCCUAGCACUUUGGGAGGUAAAGGCAGGUGGAUUACUUGAGGUCAGGAGCUGGAAAGCAGCCUGGCCAACAUGGUGAAACCCUGUUUCUACUAAAAAAUACAAAAAUGUUAGCUGGGGUGGUGGUGCACACUUGUAAUCUCAGCUACUCGGGAGGCUGAGGCAGGAGAAUUGCUUGAACGGAGGAGGCAGAGGUUGCAGUGACUGGAGAUCACACCACUGCACUCCAGCCUGGGCUCCAGAGCAAGACUCCACCUCAACAACAACAACAACAACAACAA